UAGGAAUUCCCUUCGGGGCUUCUACAGGUGCUGCAUGGUUGUCGUCAGCUCGUGCCGUGAGGUGUCGGGUUAAGUCCCAUAACGAGCGCAACCCUUAUCCGUUAGUUGCCAUCAGGUAAAGCUGGGAACUCUGGGGAGACUGCCGGUGAUAAACCGGAGGAAGGCGGGGAUGACGUCAAGUCCUCAUGGCCCUUACAUCCCGGGCUACACACGUGCUACAAUGGCAGGUACAGAGGGCUGCAAAGCCGCGAGGUAGAGCGAAUCCCAGAAAACCUGUCUCAGUCCGGAUUGAAGUCUGCAACUCGACUUCAUGAAGGCGGAAUCGCUAGUAACCGCGAAUCAGCAGGUCGCGGUGAAUACGUUCCCGGGCCUU
rnacentral:rRNA from 1 species